CUUGCUCCAGGAAGAGGUUUAGGGAUCACUGGUGGGGAGCAAGCCUGUGGCCUCGGGGAGUGCGGCCCUUGUUGUGUCUGAGCCAGAGCCAGGGCUGCUGCUAGAGGCAUGUCUGGAAGUUUCUAAGCCCAGUUCUUCUUUCCCAAGGCUUGUUGGCUUUCCCAUACAAAUUGGAGUGGAUGUAGCCAUGGAUUCAGCUCCUGCCACGUCAGGCUCCUGUAGCUGAUCCUCACCUUGGAGAAGCACGCGCCAAACGAAGCUGUGUGUGCCAGGGACCGCCGGGAACCACGGGAUCAGCUCCCGUGGGAAAGUCACCAAGCUGCCUCUCGUUGGCCUUGGUGUCUCCUCCUUCCCUUCCUGUGGCUGCUGCCCUGUUAAUUGAUUACUGCCCUGUUCAGCCGUUGCUUGUGGAGCUGAAUGCGCCAAGUUAAAGCGCGAGAGCGGAGAAAGGCAGCAGUGAUUCCGAGCGCUGGGCUCGCAUCUGAAAGAUUACAGCACAAUCUAAUGAGCUCAUUAAUUUCAUUUCAUUAACCAAACACUGCUUGUGGAGAAUGGCAAAUAUUUAAAGAAGCGCAGCAGGGUCAGAAACACAUUUAAUUAAUGUUGUCACGUGGUGCUGAGAACAGGAGGGGGGAAUAAAUCCCGAUGCCAUACAUUAACAUCCAUGGUGACUUCUCUUUUAUAUUUAAUGUGCUGCUUGGGUGAAAGGCCUGCCUGGCUCCUGUGAGCACAGUGCCUGAGCAGCUGAGUGUGUUUCCCCUUCCUCCCAGGGUCCAUGGAAGCCAGGCAGUGCCGUUAUCCCAUUUAGAAGGGAAUGCUACAGACAAGAGGAGGGGGCUCCACCAUGGGAUCCAUGGGGGUGAUGCUGGUUCCCUUGUUGUCCUUCUCCUUGCUAGGCCAUGCCUACUGUGAUUAUCACACUAAACUGGUGAUACCCUGAGCUUAUCAGCUUCCUGUUCAGCCAGCUGGGCACUGUGGGUGCCUCAGUGGGAGUGAAAUCCAAAGUGCACAAAAAUGAUAGGGAAGAGAGGGUCAGAUCCUCUCUCAACCCCUUUGAAGUUUGGUGCACUUGGCUGUUAACAACCUCUGUUGUACCAGACACAGAGGUUACAAAGUGGGUUCUCAUCCCCUUCUGCCCCGUCUCUAAGGGAAUUUGGAUCUGAGUUUUUUGGCACAAACUGUCUGCAUAUUUAUUAAUCUGUUGUGGAGGUGGGCUUUGCUAAAAUCUCAUUUUGGUGUGGGGGAGGACAUCUCAUUUGUGGCUCUUCCGUUAGGGCUGCUGUGAGGCAUCAGAGGAAAGCUACAGAUUGCUUUUCUGAUUGUCCUGGUACACUCUGCUUCUUCAGGAAAAUUGAAUUAGGAUGGAUACCUGGAUUGCACCUAAAGGUCUGGGUUUCUCACUGGCAAGUUAUUUCUGUGGUUCCAGUUCAAGGAGCAUCCCAGCUAAAACAAUCUUGGAGAGAAUGGAGCUGGAUUUUUACCCUGGACUCUGGCAGCGCUCUCGUGUUUCUGCAUAUGCUUUGUGACAUAUUGGGAUAAUGGUGGCUCUGCUAAAGGGCCCUACUCUUGAGAGGGCCAGGAGAUGGCCCUAAUUUAUGGUCACCUCGAGGGAGAGCAGUGGCUGAGUGGAGCCUGUGUCCUUGGCUGGCAGCUGAUGGCCCAGGGAGCCCUGGGCCCCGUGCCAGGGUGAGAGAGAUUUCCUGCUCAUGAGCUGAAAGGCAAAGAUUUUUUUUUCCCCUGCUCCAGUAGUGGCACCUUCUGCUGUCAGAAUUGAUGGUUCAGAUUAUCAAGAUACUUCAGGCUUCAAUACUUAUGCUCCCUUAAUUGAGCUCGUUAAUGAAGAGGUGACAACAGAUGGGUCUGGGAGUGAUCUCUGCUGAGCCCACCAGGCACAUCUCCCCUUCCUGACAUGCUGCUGUUUGUCACUUUGCCUGGUUUAUGUUUCCUUUCUCCCUUCCUGAAGCACACGCCUUUUCUCAUGUCCAAGUCAAUUUGAGCAGAGCAUCAGAGUGAUCUUUCCUGGGAUGCUGUGUUUGUAAAGCUGAAAUACAGUUUUCUGCUUCAGCUGGAUGGAAGAAUGGAGCAUGUUGGACUAGGGGAAAGCCUCCAGUCCAUGGCAUGGGGAUUGGGUUUCUCCUCACCAUGAAGAAAUGUGCCCUGGAUCACAGAUGUCCUGCAUCCUCUGACCUGUUCAGGCUUGGAUUUGGGAGGAAAGCAUUCACCAUGGAGGAGAAUUUUGUGUUCAGCUUCUCAACCCUUGGCCUGCAUUGCCUCAAGGUGCUUUGAACUGCUCUGCUGCUGGGAGCACUGGUUGUUCUUAGGAAACAUCAGUGCCUGGUUUGUGUUGGGCAGUGCCUUGGAGUGUGGGGAUGAAGGGAUUUAAACCUUCCCAUGGAUCCAAAGCAGUGUGGGCAGCAGGGAUGGGAUUGGGAUUGUGCCCCUGUGCCCUGCUCAGGUGAGAGCCCAGCUGCAGAGCUGCCCCAGCCCUGGGGCCCAGCACAGGAAGGAGCUGGAGCUGCUGCAGAGAGUCCAGAGGAGGCACCAGGCGCCUGAAGGUACAAGAAAGAUGGAGACUAUUCCCAAGGGCCUGGAGUGACAGGACAAGGAGGAAUGGCUGCAAACGGACAGAAAGGAGCCAUGUGUGACAGUCUGCAGGUGAAUUUGAGGAGAGUUACACCACAAGCACCCAGCUGAGCAUCUCUACCCACCAGCUCAGGGUCUGCCAUUCUGAAUGUUUGAAUCCACAUGAAUCAGACAAGGAGAGGAGCUUGUUACCAUGGCCAGAGUCGAUUCAAAAAGGGUUUGCAAAAAGCCUUGAGGCUGGACAUGCUUGGACUGUGUGCUCCUGAGCUGUAAGAUUUACAUGGGUGUUUUAGGGAAAAAAAAAAAACAUAAAAAAAUUGCUCUGCACUUUCAGUAGAAGUCGGGCUAUGAAUAUCCCAAUCCCACUGCUUCAAACCUCAUGGGAGUAAUCUUCAAGUGGGAAAUCCCAUUAAGUCAUAAAGAGCUCUUAAGUAGUUCCCUCUGAUAAAUUUGUGGCACUCUGCAAGUCCCAUAAUUCCCAAUAUCCAGAUGAGGAAGCUGAGGUUAAGUGACUUAGCCAAGGUCAUGAAGCAAAUCAAUAACCACUCCAGCCCCUCUGCUGCUCACUCCAUGUGUCUCUGCUGUCAGCAAAGGGGAUCAAUCCUCCCCACCCCUGUCCCAGCCCCAGUGAUGGACACCCAGGCUUUGAAAUGUUGGAUUAUGUGGGAAAAAAGAGGCCCAUCUUCAUUCAGAGAGCUGGGCUGGGGGAGCAGUCACGGGGCUCCUUCACCCUCCUUGCACCCAGGGCUCCCUGAGUGGAGACAUCCCCCGACUCCUGCUGUUCUCUGGAAGGAGCUGGAAUUCCCACUGCUGGCACAAACUUCCCAUCAUGAAGUCUGGGAGCAUCUUUGGUGUGGUGACAGAAAAUUGCCUCAUGCAAGAGCUGUUGGCUGUGAGGAGGGUGAGAGUCUCUGUCAGGCUCUGUGGGAGAUUGUUCUUCCUCUUUCCAACUGCUCACCUCUCCCCUUCCAUGCUUCAGCUUCCUUUACUCAUUUCUUGAGCCCAUGGAGGGGGAUGUACCAAGAGUUUGGGGGAGUUUCAGGAGUGGGGAUGUGUGUAUUGGGUCUAAGCUUGCUUCCUGUGGAUGGCUGGUCCCAAGAAAAAGCAUUGUUUUUCCUGGGAUCAGGCAGACUGUAAUUCUGAGACUCUUAGGUUACUAAUUCCAGUUCAUCUGUUUGUUGUCUUCAUCAAGGAAUCCCAGAAUGGUUUGGGACUGUAAAGCUCAUCCAGUUGCACCUCCAGGGACACCUUCCCCCAUCCCAGGGUGCUCCAAGCCCUGUCCAGCCUGGCCUUGGACACUCCCAGGGAUUGAGGGGCAGCCACAGCUUCUCUGGGCACCCUGAGCCAGGGCCUCAUCACCCUCACAGGGAAGGAUUUCUCCUGUCUUUCCAAUCUAAAUCUAUUGUCUCUUCAGUUUAAGGCCAUUACCCCUUUAUCUCUCGUUCCCAGCACAGCCCUCAGGAGUCACACAGGAAUGGGAGAUGCUGGAUGAAGGCAUCUUCUUUCCCAAGCUCCUGACAGUGCCUUGCUUCCCUGUUCUCCUUCAGCUUUUCUGUAGCUAAUUUGGAGCUGUCUGAAUUCCUGGUUCUGCUCUUGCUGCUGUGGUAGCUGCUGCUUGGCUGUCAGGCUCUGUUCCCCCUCCCAGGUAAAAGUACAAAGGCAGAGGGAGUGAGCACAACUGGAAUUUAAGGAUCAACCCACUGUCUCCUGGCUUCCCUGUGCUUCCUGGAGUGGCUCCCACAGCCCUGCUGGAUGCUUCCCCCAGAGGCUGGGCCUGAGAGGUUAAUGAGAAGUUGUUCUCCAUGCCAGGCUCCUGCCUACUUUGCUGUAAGGUCUCUGAAGGGUGGCAUGUGCUUCAUUUAUGUCUCCUUCUUCCUCCUGAUCAGCACUUCUCCAGGUGUUUGGCACUUGCCAGACCUCUGGCAUCCCCACUCCUGCAGGAAAGGUGCUCUUGGGAAUAUUGCAGGUGGAAUGGUCAGGAGGAAGGUCAGCACCAUCCUGGACUAUCUGUCAUGGAUUUACAGCUUUCAGCUCCUCCAGGAAUGCCCUGAACUAAUCCAGAGAGCUGCUCUGUGUCACGGCCCCGGUGCUGAGCUGGCACUGCUGGUGCCUUUCCCAGCAUGGAGAGGGCACUGCCACUGGGAUGAUGGAUGAGAGCUCCUGCAGGGGACAGCUUGGUCCUGGAGCUCCUGGAGGCUCUCCAAGCCUGGCUUUGCAGUUGGCCAAGUGUUCCAUUUGUUUUGAUGCUUUUCAUGUCUUUGGGCAGUUUGCUGUGUUUAUUUUGGGGGGAAGGUCAGCACUCCCACCUGAUACUGGGGGAAUGCUCUGGGAGAGAAGCAUCCCUGGAGACAGCCCUCCUUUCAGCAGCACAUGGCAAAGCUCUGAGACUUCCCUUUCAGUGGGAGGCACAGGAGAUAUUUUGGACUGCAAGCUGUGGCUUUAAAAAAACCCACCCAGUAGUGAUUUGAGGUUUUCUUCUUGAAGCCUUCCUGACUUUGAACAUAAAUUGCAUCUGUUUUGAUAAGCAGGCUACCAGCAAGCCAGACCUGUUCCUGGGAUUACUGUGACCACAGCUACCGCUCCCCUCCUGGCUGUUUGUAGCAGCCAGGGAGGACCUAAUUCUUGUAUCCCAGACCUUAAACCUCAGCCUAACAGCCUCCAAGGGAUUCUCCCUGCUCGGGGUGUUGUUUGUGGGACUGCUGGUGGCUCUGCAGCCUGGAUCCAAGGAGCGUUCCCAUCCCAUCAGCACCAGCUGCCAGCAUCAGGAUCACGGCCACCCAGGGAGCUGGACAUCAUGGAGCUGGACACACACCAGGGUAGGUAAUGGAUGUGACCCCUGAAAUUGGAAAAGCCACCAUGAAAAGUAUGACUCAGCCUGAAGGCUCUGGACUAGCGGAGGGAGACUUUCCCAUUCAGGGGCAAACCAGGAGCCGACUUACUUCUGACACCGAGCUCAGUCUCCAAACACAAAAGAAGAGAAAGUCAGGACAGAAAGGCAUUGGAGCUUUCUUCUUCUUCCACACCUGCUGUUCCCGGUCGUCAGGCACUUCCAAGAGGAGAGUUCUCCAAGUUCCCAGCCAUUACCCUUUACAUAAGCAUAAUAUAGUGCUGCACUUCCUACAGGGAAGCUAUCUAUUGUAGCAAUCUGUAAAACAAAAGCUGGAUUGCUCCUUCUCCCAUUGCUCCCAGAAUCAAAAAGCUGCCUGCUGUUCCUCAAAUGGGAAGGCUGAAAGCCUUCAUCAGAGGGUAGUUCAUUUUUACACGACAUUUUUACACUCAAGCAAAACUGAAAGCAAGGCAUAAUUUGAAACAGCCACGCUCGCCGUUAGAGCAGAACCACACAAAUAAAAUGCCUGGGAUGAUGGAGUUGAAUACAUUGCAGUCAGAAAAAUGACAGUUUGCAGGGAACAAGGAAAACUAGAUGGAUGAAUGGGAAUUAGUGAAGAGCAGACUUCCAAGGCAGACAAAUCAAAUUGAGAGCGUGGAUCAUUAGAUUCAAAGGAAGCAGGUUUUGGUAUCCAGCCUGGAUGACUGUCAGCUAGGACUUUCUGCUCCUGCUUGCCUUCCUUUAGGUGAAGAGGACAAGUGAGGCUCUGGAGAGUACUCCUGGAUGGUAUGGGGAGAUCCUUGGAGCAAUCAUGUAAGAGCACAUGGCUUGUGUGAAUCCUGCCUUCUGAGCCCCUCUCUGUGCAGGACCUGAGCAACGCAAGCAGUGAGGGAAGGGCAGCAGCAGGAGCCUUCUGGGAUGGGGAGCUGCAUAUUCACACCCACUUUUCUCAGCUCUGGUCGUGUGCACACAUUAAAUACAAACACAGAGAGGUUUCAGCACCUCAGGCUUUUGCAGGCUCUCUGCCUACCCAGAAGAUUUGUCCCUCUCAAGAUGAUAUUGAUGGUGGGAAAGGCAAUUUCAAGUAAGCUGCUGCUGGAGUAGCCAUGAGGUGCCUAAUGAGGGUUUGGCUUUGGCCAGGAAGGAAAGGGUUGCAGGCAGCUCGAGAGCAUUCCAAGGGCACUGUCCUGGCUGAAGGCAAGAUCCCGCUGGGCUGCUCCGCUCCAGCGCCUCGCAGGGAGACGUGUCCUUCUGUCCUGGCUUCUGUCCCCACCUGAUGUCCCAGCACGUCGGCACUCUCGGGCACUUGUCACUUCUUAUCUCCGAGGGGGGCUGUUCCUUCCCCCGUGCUCACAGCAGGGGUUGGAUUCGGAGGCAGAAUUCCCGGGAAGAGGUGACACUCGCAAGGUCGAGCUGUCACCCUGUGGCUGGCAGAGCUGCUGGGCUGUGUCUCCGUCCGCAGCAGUCACACCUCUCCUUUUUACCUCUUAAGAGACUGCAAUAAAUUAAUUGAAGAUUAUUAAUUAGAUUAAUUGUAAAACUUCCAUGAAUUGCUGCCUUCUGGAUCCCAGUCUAUAAUUUGCCUUCCAUGGCCAAUUAGAUGGGGCCAGUUAAGGUUUUAUCCUUUUUCAAUAUCAAGAAAUCAUUAUUUUCAUCGCUUGAAAACACAGACUGGGCAGAGCUGGGCUCACCUGCUACAACCUGGACAUACAAAGAAUGCCCCAGAAAAAUGGUUAAUGAAUUCCUCCAGUUCUGCUUUGCUGAGCACAAGGGGCUUUAGGGCUGCAUUUAUUUGCUCUCUGGCCAAAAUCUGCAAAAAGCUUUGCUGAACCUGUGGGUGGGGGGAUCUUGGCUGGGUUUCAUCAGUACCCUCAACUCUGCCCUGACUUUGAAUUGAAUAUUCAAGUUACAGCUGAGCUCAGUAGUGCUGGCUGAAUGGGGGGGAAGAGAGAGGGAGAUUCUCAAACUGUUCUCUCAAUUGGGAAAAAAACAACCUGGAAGUUCUUUAAAAAUGCAAGUCAGUUCUUCUUUUUGAUGCUGCAUAACUGUCUGUGUGGCUGGGAGAAGCAACAGGACUGUAAUUGCAGACCAAACCUCUAUUUCCUCUAAUUGUUCCCAUAACUUGAUUUACUUUGGAAAUACUCGGAGGAUGCUUUUCCUAUUUACUGUCUCUCCUCACUGUUAUCAUUUUCCCUGCCUUGACUGAUGAAGCACAUUCAUAAUUUCUCUCCAUUUGGUGUGGACUCAGGAGCAGUUUGUGCAGAUUAGGAGCUUCUGGCAAAAUGGUUAAUAUUAAUCUAGAACCGAAUGAGUGAUUUAUGGGGGAGAGGCUGUGUGAAACCAAAGACACACCAGAUGAAUCUGGGAUUUCAAAAGCAUGGAGGAAAAUCUGAGUAUAGUGAAGUUCUUCUGUAGAUAGGAAAGGGAAGGUGUUGGGAGGUGAGAGAAGGCAGUGGGAAUGUGUCUUUCUUUGGUCUUUAGACCCUCAAGGCUCUGGUGAAAUACCUCCAGGAGAAUUUUCAAGUGGUUUAAGGGCCUCACUUGGCCAUCCAGACUUAACUAAGGUUGCACGUGGGGUACAGCAUUACCCCCAGCACCCCAACUCACAUGCACAUGUUUGAUCCCUAUAUCUUGGGAUGGCAGGGAAUGCAGACGAAUUUCCAUGGCAUCCUGAGAGGAUGCUGCUACCUGGCUUUUCUCAGCCUCCCUUUUCCUGCCUUCCACACUGUCAGUUUUCUGCCCAUCUCAGGAUCUUUAGGACUGGAUUGCUCCUCCCAGCUCCUGCUCCUGGAGGCAGGCACAAAGCCUUGCUGGCUUUCCACUCAGGUGUGUUCCUUGCUCAGCUGUUUCUUCCCUUCUUUCCCACCUAUUUUCUUAGGACUUCCCGUGGAGCUUGGACACCUGGGCUCAGCUCAGAGCUCCUGUCCUCCCUUGCCCACGUGCUGAGGAGGAAAGGAGGCUGUAACAGCUGCUUUAAUUUCCUCAGGUCUCCCUUCAGCUGCUGCCUCACAGCUCCAAGGGCUCCCACCUCAAUCCUAACUAACCAGUUUUUGGCCAUAACUCCAACUCCAUUCCGGAUCUUAUUUCCCAUGUGCUCUGUGUAAUGUUUUGUCUCUGGACAAUUUUUCCUUUUAAUUUUGCAGUGAAAAUUACCUAAGCUGGCUGAAAGAAGUGUUUCAGAGCUGACUUGUUGAUUGCAAGCCAGAGCUGAGGGCUGCCUUAUAGAGAUGUUUUCUUUGGGAAUAAUCAGCCCGAAGCCGGUCUCGGAGGAGGGUCGCAGAUGAGAGCUAUCAACAGAGGGGUUUAUGGAACACAAGGCUUGCACUUCAAUUUCAAUGCAGAUAAAAUCUGCCAAGUGAAGGGGAUCCUUCCCCUGUCACUUCUGCAGAGAGAGAUUUUAUUAACACCAAUUGCAUGGAAACAGGGGACGGCCACGGUGCCCCCACCGGAGAUAAAAAGACAUUAAUGCACUUAGGCUGUGACAGCAGAGAGCAGCUGGGUUUGGUUUAUGUUCUCUGGACCCCAGGGGCACUUCUGCAUGAGCAAGGGCGGGACUUUGGGGCUGAGUUCAAUGGCUGAUCCCUUCAGCAGAAAUAUCAGGUGGAAAGGCUGGGAAGGAGCAGGAGCAGCUGGGGAUGCAGAGUGUGGGUGGCAAGGUUUCGAGUGGCCCCAGCUCUGUGGCAGUGUGGGUAAGGUGUGAGACCUCAGGAUCGCUGGAAAUGGGAUGUUGAGUCCGAGGAUGGACAGGUGAUUGUGGGAAAAUCCUGCCUGGAUGCUGUGGUGGCUGGGUGCUGGCACCCCAAACCUUGGGAGCGUGUGUGGGGUUGUUCCUACUGCUCAUCCCCCUGGGCUCCAGUCAUGAUCACGGGUUGUGUAUCCCAGUUUUCUCUUUCCAACAGAGUCAUUUUCACUGUCUCAUUAGUGUUGGACCUGGAGCUGAGCUUUAGCCUGACCCACACAAUGGAUAUGGGAAGCUUUGGGAAAGGAUUGUCCUUGAUAUUCAUAUCAAAAACAUAUCCAAGUCCUGCCCCCAUGGUAGUUCCUCUUACAGGAUCCCUGAGCAGGAGAAAGGCUGUGGCCCAUUUCCAGGCCCGGUGCCCUAGUCCUCCACUGGGUGUGGUUUUGCUGAGGCUUCCCUUUGCCAUCUCAAUCCCAACUCCCCUCAUUCCAUGGGGCAGAGUUUUAAAGCCCCACUGCACACACUGCUCCUGCCUGGCACGGCUGACUCUGAGGAUGGAUGGAUGGAUGGAUGGAUGGAUGGAUGGAUGGAUGGAUGGAUGGAUGGAUGGAUGGAUGGAUGGAUCUCCCAGUUCUGGGCAGGAAAUAGACUACACCCCCUGGCUGGCUGCCUGACUGAUCAGCACAUCUCCUUCAAUCAAACAGACUAUUCUGAUGAGCCUGCAGUCAGUUCCCUGCGUUUUGGAGCUCCUAGAUCCUGCUGAUGGGGGUGGAAGCUGCUGCUGGAAAAGCUUUCUCCUUCUUGGUCAUCUAAUUUGGAGCUUUCCAAUAAAUAGGCUGCUCGACAUUUUUUGAUAUAAAGGUCAACAUCGUCUGGUAGACUCGAGGACUUUAAGAUAAGUGGAGGAAAUGGCAUGGGUAGGCUGAUUUGAUAAUGAUCCUAAUCCUGUGUCUGAUCUCUGAUAAUGAUGGUAACCCCAUCAAUGUAUGUUCAUGUCACUGUAAAAUGGAGCUCAGAUAAUUUUUUUGGCAGAACUGAUGCCUCUUAGCACAGACUAGCUUUGCUGGAGUCUUUAACUUGUUGCAAGAGCUGCCACACAGAAUGCAGAAAAGGAAGCUUAAAUUGUUUUUAGGAAAAAAAUCAAUCAGAGCAAGUGUUUUUGGCUAAAUAAGGUCUCAGUCUCCUGAGUCAGCUUUCCCAAAGCUGUUGGUGUUUGCUGAUGAAUUACUGUGGUGAUGAACACACAGCUGACACACCAGCCAAAGCGCAGUUAUGGGUGGAGACUCAUUUCAGAAAACACCUUUAAAUUCCACCAAUCCUUUUAUUCAGGCCAGACCAGGACAAGGACUACCCUUUUUUGGUAUUACUGAGGAAGCUCUGGGCUUUGGGAAAGGUGAGAAGUGGUUUAGCACAGGGAUUCCCUCCAUCCCUCCAGGCUGUGGGGAACAGAUACUGAAGCAUCUUUCAUGGUGUGUGUGUAGGAGAUGUUUUCUGGCCAUUGUGUGGUUUUUAGGAGUGCUGAAAGGAGAGCAGAAGGAAGUUUAGGAGGAAGUUCUGCCUCUGUAGACCCUGGCAGUGCUAUGUCAGUGAGAUGUUGCACAGCACACACAGGGCUGAUGUCCAGAGAGAAAUACAAUUCCACUUGGAAUUCCUCAGAGGACUCUCACAGCAGAGCUCUGCAGCAUCCAGGGAUAUCUGGGGAGAUCAGAGCUGCCAGGGCCUGGUUUCCAACAUGCCCUUCUGCUUUGCUGUCUCUUGUGAAUGCUACCUAGAGUUUUCCCAAGUUAGGAAUAAGUUAAUUACAUGGUUCUCUUUCCCUGAAGGACCCCAACACCUGGAUUACAUUUUGCUCCCAGAUUUCUGGUUUCUAAUCUGUUAUAUGGCACCAAUUCUCAGGCAACCAUAGACCCAGGGAACUUGCAUUUCUCUUGUCCCCUGAAAUGCCUGGUUGUUUUCUGACUGCAGAGCUCCCUGUGUGACGUUCUCCUAACAAGGAGAACGUCCUGGGGCUGCUUUCCCCUCAAUACAAUUUGUGUCUGGAGGUUGUGACUGCCUCCCACGGUCCCACAGCCUUUUUCUCUUUGGCCUCUGAUCUCUGGCAGGCCUGUGCUGAGAGCUGAUUGCCAUCUCUCCUCAGGUGGAUCACUUACUGCUCUGUAACUGGCUCAAGCCAAGGGGCUGGAGAUAUUGGAUUCCUUUGAUAAGGUGCCAAAGUGACACACUGAUAUCUGAGCCAAAGCUCUGAGUAAAUGCUUUUCCCAUCUCACACCACGGUAGACUCCCAAAUCCCAGUAGAAGCAACUGCUUUCUAUUACUCAGCUGUUUGCUAGCAGGAAUUAUCUGCCCUAGCAGGAGAUAGUUUGUGCUCUCUGUGUUUGUUAGGCUCCUGCUAUCGCUCACUCCCGGUAGAGAGAGGCAUAAAAUUCCUUCCAGGUGACUUUUGCAGCAAAAAAUCAAUUGUUUAUCAACAUCCUGGCAAUCAAUGGAUGCAGUGAUAGGUGCAACUGUCUCUAUUGGAGCUGAACCUUGAUUGCUGAGAGACCAGAGCUGCUGCUAAAUCCACCUGGGCCCGAAGCUGGGCUGGAGCUGCGGGGCCAAAGCCUGGAGCAGAUCCUUGGAGAGUUCCCUGCUGCUGUGCUGAGCCCUUCCCCUCCUCGGGAUGUUGGUGCUGAUUGCUCUUGUGCUGAUUCUCUGUGGGCUGUGCUCUGCAGAGGGCUCUGGAGCUGUCCAUGCACACCUGGCCCCUCAGAGCCAGGGGCUGUGCUCUCUGGUGCUUCACUGAAGAGAUGAACCACAAAGUGCUCACCCCAGAGGAAUUCAUCACUGUUUUAUGUGUCUGUCCAUCUUCACUAAGCCUUUUGCUGAAGAACCCUGUGUUAUAUUUUGUUCCCAGAUUCUCUUGGCAUCCGGCCUUGGUGGCCAGAAGGCAGGCCUGGGGGAAAUCUCUCACAGGGGCUGGGUGUUCCUGCUGUGACUGGUGAUAAACUUGCUUUCAGCUGCACUGGUGAAAAGGCCAGCUUGGAGCAGCCUGGUCUUGUGGAAAGUGUUCCUGCCUUUGGGAACUGGAUGAUUUUUAAGGACCUUUCCAACCCAGCCCUUUCAUGAUUUUGUGAGGAGCAUCUCCUUCCUUCUGUGCUACUCCUGCCCAGCUGGUUCCUUUCCCUGGGACACCUGCAGCCUUUCCCUCUUGCUUGAAGCUGUUAAUUGAUGUCUCAUUAAACGAGACAACUUAAAGACUUCCCUAUCUGCAGAGCAUUCCUGAGCCUGAGCUUUCCCAGAGCCAGAGUUCUUCCUGAGCCAGAGCUCCAGGAGCGUUUGGACAACGCUCUCAGGGACAGGAUGGGGUUGUUGGGAUGUCUCUGCAGGGCCAGGAUAAUGCUUGUGUGUCCCUUACAAGUCAGGAGAUUGACUCUGUCAUCCAGUUUUGAGGUGUCCAUGUGGCCAAGGUAUCCCUUCACGAAGAAAUAUGGAUAGGAGUGGAAGAGUUAACAUCAGCAGCUCCCAGACACGCUGGAGAGUUACAUCAUGUUGCUGUGGAAACUAACUUUGUGAAAGCACAGUGAUGUAUGGGAAAGCUUUGGGUCAGCGGGUAAUAAAUUCUGUUUAAAAAGUGAUUUUUUCCCCAUCUGCUGAUGUAAACAUCAUUAAGAGAAAUGACGGCUGAGAGAUGGAUUUCUUUUUAUAUCAAUUUUCAGACAAAGAAAAUAAUUUUUUUUUAUAAUAAAAAAGUUGCUGGAAA